rnacentral:rRNA from 1 species
GGACUACGUGGGUAUCUAAUCCCGUUUGCGACCCAGGGCUUCGUCCCUCACCGUCGGAUCCGUUCUAGCUAGACGCCUUCGCCACCGGUGGUCCUUCUAGGAUUACAGGAUUUUACCCCUACCCCAGAAGUACCUCUAGCCUCUCCCGGUCCCAAGUUCGGCAGUCUCCUCGGAAGUCGGGAGGUUAAGCCCCCCGAUUUACCCAAAGAUUUACCGAACCGGCUACGAACGUUUUAGACUCAAUAAAAUCGACCACCACUUGGGCUGCAGGUAUUACCGCGGCGGCUGGCACCCGUCUUACCCAGCCCUUAUUCCUCUAGUUUUCUAAGCUAAAGAAAAGCUAACACAAAUGUGCUAGCACUAGGAAUUCCCUCAUCGGGGUUGCCCCCAUUGUGAAGUUUUCGCGCCUGCUGCCCCCCAUAGG